rnacentral:rRNA from 1 species
UACGGGGGGAGCAAGCGUUGUUCGGAUUCAUUGGGCGUAAAGGGUGCGUAGGCGGCGCGGUAAGUCGGGUGUGAAAUCUCGGAGCUUAACUCCGAAACUGCAUUCGAUACUGCCGUGCUUGAGGACUGGAGAGGAGACUGGAAUUUACGGUGUAGCGGUGAAAUGCGUAGAUAUCGUAAGGAAGACCAGUGGCGAAGGCGGGUCUCUGGACAGUGCCUGACGCUGAGGCACGAAGGCGAGGGGAGCAAACGGG